rnacentral:tRNA from 1 species
AGCCAGUUAGCUCAGUUGGUUAGAGCGUGGUGCUAAUAAUGCCAAGGUCACAGGUUCAAUCCCUGCUCUCACUG